GAACGAUACCAAUGGGCUUGCUCAUUGGGAAAGUGGCGCACGGGUGCGUAACGCGUAUGCAACCUACCUCAAUCAGGGGGAUAGCCCGAAGAAAUUCGGAUUAACACCGCAUAAAAACACAGUACAGCAUUGUACAAUGUUCAAAUAUUUAUAGGAUUGAGAUGGGCAUGCGUGUCAUUAGCUAGUUGGCGGGGUAACGGCCCACCAAGGCGACGAUGACUAGGGGAUCUGAGAGGAUGACCCCCCACACUGGUACUGAGACACGGACCAGACUCCUACGGGAGGCAGCAGUAAGGAAUAUUGGUCAAUGGAGGCAACUCUGAACCAGCCAUGCCGCGUGCAGGAAGACAGCCCUCUGGGUCGUAAACUGCUUUUAUUCGGGAAUAAACCUACUUACGUGUAAGUAGCUGAAUGUACCGAAGGAAUAAGGAUCGGCUAACUCCGUGCCAGCAGCCGCGGUAAUACGGAGGAUCCAAGCGUUAUCCGGAUUUAUUGGGUUUAAAGGGUGCGUAGGCGGCUUAUUAAGUCAGGGGUGAAAGACGGUGGCUCAACCAUCGCAGUGCCCUUGAUACUGAUGAGCUUGAAUGAACUAGAGGUAGGCGGAAUGUGACAAGUAGCGGUGAAAUGCAUAGAUAUGUCACAGAACACCGAUUGCGAAGGCAGCUUACUAUGGUCUUAUUGACGCUGAGGCACGAAAGCGUGGGGAUCAAACAGGAUUAGAUACCCUGGUAGUCCACGCCCUAAACGAUGAAUACUCGCUGUUAGCGAUAUACAGUUAGCGGCUAAGCGAAAGCGUUAAGUAUUCCACCUGGGGAGUACGCCCGCAAGGGUGAAACUCAAAGGAAUUGACGGGGGCCCGCACAAGCGGAGGAGCAUGUGGUUUAAUUCGAUGAUACGCGAGGAACCUUACCCGGGCUUGAAAGUUAGUGAAUCAUUUAGAGAUAGAUGAGUGAGCAAUCACACGAAACUAGGUGCUGCAUGGCUGUCGUCAGCUCGUGCCGUGAGGUGUUGGGUUAAGUCCCGCAACGAGCGCAACCCCUAUGUUUAGUUGCCAGCACGUUAUGGUGGGGACUCUAAACAGACUGCCUGUGCAAACAGAGAGGAAGGAGGGGACGACGUCAAGUCAUCAUGGCCCUUACGUCCGGGGCUACACACGUGCUACAAUGGAUGGUACAGAGGGCAGCAAGCUGGUAACAGCAAGCAAAUCUCAAAAAGCCAUUCACAGUUCGGAUAGAGGUCUGCAACUCGACCUCUUGAAGUUGGAUUCGCUAGUAAUCGCG
rnacentral:rRNA from 1 species